ACCCUGAUGCAGCAACGCCGCGUGAGUGAAGAAGGCCUUCGGGUCGUAAAGCUCUGUCCUUGGGGAAGAAAAAUGAACGGUCCUUACGAGGAAGCCCCGGCUAACUACGUGCCAGCAGCCGCGGUAAUACGUAUGGCGCGAGCGUUGUCCGGAUUCACUGGGCGUAAAGGGUGCGUAGGCGGUCGAUUAAGCCAGAGGUGAAAGGCUCCGGCUUAACCGUAGUAAUGCUUUGGAACUUCUUGGCUUGACUGCUUGAGAGGAUAGUGGAAUUUCUUAUGGUAGAGGGAAAUGGAAUUAUAUUUGGAGGAACACCUGUGGCGAAGGUGACUCUGUGGACUGUAACUGACGCUUACGCACGAAAGCGUGGGGAGCAAACAGGAUUAAAUACCCUGGUAGUCCACGCCAUAAACUAUCAUUGCUAGGUGUCGGGGGUUCACUCCCUCCGUGCCGGAGUUAACUCAAUAUCCACUCCGCCUGGAGAAUACGGUCGUUGGACUGAAACUGAAUUGAAUUGACGGG
rnacentral:rRNA from 1 species